rnacentral:rRNA from 1 species
UUCUGUAAACCUUAGGUAGUAACCUAAAACCAUCAUACAAUGGCGGUCUUAGCCUUUUAGAGAAACUCGCUUUAUAAUCGAAAACACCCGUUAAUUUUCACUAACUUUCAAUAGUCUAUAUACCGCCGUGCUAAAAUAAUAACUAAUAUUAAUUUAAUCUUUUUAAUAAAUCCACAUUUAGGUCAAGGUGUAACCAAUAAGUUAGAAAAAGUAAGUUACAAUAAUAAACAAUUUAAGAAUAAAAAACAAAAGUUUUAUUGAAAGAGAAUCUAUAAGUACACUUCAAUCAAAAUUUAAUUUAGAAUAACCCCGCAAAGAUGC